UCAAAUUAAUCAGGAGUGUCCGCUCAAGUGCUGCCCUUGCCCUUGGAAAGCUCAGUGCACUUAGUCCCAGGAGUGACCCCUUGGUAGGUGUCCUUUGUCCAACUUGCAGGCUUCGGGUGCUGGAAUUAGGGAGGCCAAUUUGACUGCUUUAAAAGGUGUGGCGGGGUAUGCUGGAAUGAAUGUGAGCAGUGCUGUCAAAACUCGGGUGUACAUGCUCCUAAAAGAUAUGAUUCAUCACGAUGAUGAUCAAGUUCGAAUAUCUGCUGCAGACGUAUUGGGCGUCAUAUCUCAGUACAUCGAAGAUGCCCAGCUGAAUGAUCUUAUUGAAGAACUCCUGACAUUGGGUUCUUCUUCAAGCUGGUCCACAAGGCAUGGAUCGGUGCUUACGAUAGCAUCAAUGCUCCGGCAUAAUCCUUCGACUGGCUGUGGAUUGCCUCAUUCCUGUCCACUGUUGACUUAAAGGCGGUUUAACUGAUGAGAAUGUGGUUUCAUUCUGCAGAACCUAAACUUACCUUUCUGAUAAUUCACUUGUACAAGUCUCCAACAUACUGUCUCUCUCUUAGUCUCCUAUUCGUGAAACCUCAACCAAAGCCUUGGGAAGACUACUCCUCCAUCAAAGUCAAACUGAUCAUAGUAACACCAGUGCGCAUUCAGAUAUUAUGUUGCUCAUUGUAUCUGCUCUGCACGAUGAUUCCAGUGAAGUUCGAAGAAGGGCAUUAUCCUC